GACGAACGCUGGCGGCAUGCCUAAUACAUGCAAGUCGAGCGAACAGAUGGAGUGCUUGCACUUCUGACGUUAGCGGCGAACGGGUGAGUAACACGUAAGGAAUCUACCUAUAAGCGGGGGAUAACAUUCGGAAACGGGUGCUAAUACCGCAUAAUAUCUUCUUCCGCAUGGAAGAAGAUUGAAAGACGGCUCUGCUGUCACUUAUAGAUGACCUUGCGGUGCAUUAGUUAGUUGGUGGGGUAACGGCCUACCAAGACGAUGAUGCAUAGCCGACCUGAGAGGGUGAUCGGCCACAUUGGGACUGAGACACGGCCCAAACUCCUACGGGAGGCGGCAGUAGGGAUUCUUCCGCAAUGGGCGAAAGCCUGACGGAGCAAUGCCGCGUGAGUGAAGAAGGCCUUCGGGUCGUAAAACUCUGUUAUAAGAGAAGAACAAAUUGUAGAGUAACUGCUACAGUCUUGACGGUAUCUUAUCAGAAAGCCACGGCUAACUACGUGCCAGCAGCCGCCGUAA
rnacentral:rRNA from 1 species